rnacentral:lncRNA from 1 species
AAAACUUGCUCAGCCAGCCUACCUCAAGUCCAUAUAUGGAGUUCAAACACAAGUUCGGGAAAAGUCCUUCUGCAAUUCUAACACACACACCACACACACAGGCCCGGCGGCCGCCGCCACUCUCGCCCCUGGCCGCACGGUGCGUCUUUACGCUGACGUUCCUUCAGAAUGUGUAGGAUGGCUCACCUGCGUCCUGUCACUCCCGCCUUACCUUCCCACAUCAGGGAUUGGGCCAGAACCUCGAAUUCCCGCAUUACCCAAGCUCUCAACCCCCGACACGCCUUCCCACGGGUCCCUGGCUGCUGUCCAGUCUCUUCGUGGCUGUGUCAGCCUUUGGCACCCCCACAGGGUCUCGGGUGCGUUCUGGGGCGCGUGAGGCGAAGGGACGCCCCUGGCAGGGGGACUGCACCUCCCACUCGCGGAUGGCGGCCGCCGAGGAGGCGGGAGUUGGCUGCCGCCGAGGCCCGGGCGGCGGGCCCCGUCCGCGGCCGGCGCGCUCCUCGGUCCUCCCUCGCUCGUCUCCUUUGCUCAUAUUUGGACUCGGCUGCCCGUGCCCAGGAAUUUCCCGUCAUGCCUCCCGUCGCCCCGUCCGUCGCCCGGAGCCCGGAGGGAGGAGGGAGGCUCGGACAGCGGCGGCGGCUCGCGGGCCUUUCCAUGAGCGCGCGGCGGACCCUCCCGCGCCCCCUCUCGCUGGGCCUCUGUCUCUGCCUCUGCCUGGUCGCGGCGCGGGAUACCGCGCACCCCGCUCUUGCCCCUGUUCUUUGCCUCUCGUUUUGUUGGUGAAGCUAUCACAGUGAUGUCUGCAUUCAACCUGCUGCAUUUGGUGACAAAGAGCCAGCCAGCAGCCCUGCGAGCCUGUGGGCUUCCCUCAGGUUGCUGCUUGUUGUAUUGUUCAUACUGAGGGCACUGGUCUGAGUGGGUGUUUCUGCUGGAGGAAAUGGUACAACACCAUGCUUUCCUAAAUUUUGUUUUCUUUUAUUUGGGUCCUCAUUUGAAGAUGGAAAUUGGUUAUAAAUUACCACUCUACUUUGAGUAAAUUGAUUUCCACAAUUGAUACAACUCUGGGAAACAUUGUUCAGUUUCCUUGCCUAGUAUAUAAUUGUCACUAAUAUUUCAUGAUAUCUUCCUGUUCCUUAGUGCAUACUACACAUCUGCAAAUCAUAAUGUUCAUAAAGAGGCUGGCAGUCUUUGUAAGAAACUGCUCCAAAUCACACAAAAUAGGACAUUCAUUUUGUUAAAGGAUAAUGAGAAUGUGUUUCAUUCUACAUGUAGCUAUUCCUUUAGAAAAAAAAAUUAAAUGAACAAUUGUGGUGUAAUGGUUACUUAUUUAUUGUGGUUAAUAAAAAAAGAUGUUCUAUUUAACA